rnacentral:lncRNA from 1 species
CAAGAGCUUUGCUUGCUGUUUUUCUUGAGUAUCCACCUAGGCAUAAGAGAUACAAACUGUUAAACCUUAGUACCAAUACCGUUUUCAUAUAAUGAGAUGUUGUAUUUCAUGAGACUGUUUUUCCCUUCACAUCUAUUCCACAAGCUGCCGAAUCUUCUAAUUAUUUUCUGACCGAGUGUUGCCAUGUCGUAUACUAAAUGUCACUCCUCGUUACAAUUCAGUUGAUCAAGUGUUGAUUCCACCACUACUAUUACUAUUCCAUCUUCACAAAAUCUUGGAUCUUCUCGUCCCUCUCGAGUCAUUAAACCUUCUU